UACAGAGGUCUCAAGCGUUGUUCGGAUUCAUUGGGCGUAAAGCGCACGUAGGCGGCUUCUUAAGUCGGUGGUGAAAUCCUGGAGCUCAACUCCAGAACUGCCUUCGAUACUGGGAAGCUCGAGUCCGGGAGAGGUGAGUGGAACUGCGAGUGUAGAGGUGAAAUUCGUAGAUAUUCGCAAGAACACCAGUGGCGAAGGCGGCUCACUGGCCCGGUACUGACGCUGAGGUGCGAAAGCGUGGGGAGCAAACAGG
rnacentral:rRNA from 1 species